CUCUCUAGACAUAUAUAAAUAUAUAUAUAUAAAUCUUUUCUUCUUUUGUCAUUCAAUCAAAUUCCAACAACCCAACCAGGGCCAGUCAAAUCCACCACAGUCUCGCGCUGAGCUAGGAAUAAAGUUCACGUAAUCACAUGAGAGUGGAGAAACAGUCCCCCAUCCGGCAGGAUGCUGAACGGGCUACAUUAAAAAACAAACCUCUCUCUAUACAUAUUUAUAAAUGAGAACUGUUGGAUGACACCUUUGACAUAUCAGCCAAUAUCAAUCAAGCUGAAGACUGCAGACACUCUCUGUGACUGUAACAUUUCUUCACUGAAAGCAUAGCGUCUAUGGGGUUCAGAUGGCACGUGUUUGGGGAACAACACGUAUGAUUUAAAGACGAAGAUGAUGAAGAAAAAUGAGAAAACAAAAACAAACACACACACGAAAAAAAAAGAAAAGGCAACUUUAAAGACAAAAUAACACGAAACCUGAAGGUGAGGCUGAAGGGCUGGGAACUGGGAAGAGACUCUGCUUACCGAUCCCUGGGGCUUUUCCAGCCCAUGGGCGCCUGGAGGCAGGCUGGGCGAGCGGUGUGGUGGGGCCUGGUCCCCAGGGUGCGGCCAGGAGGCUGCUGCUGAACAUCUCUGUCAUUCCUUUAGCUAUUUAGGGACCAAAGGACCAAACUUUUUAUUGCAGAUGUGUAGCUCUAUGUCCAACAGAGGGGGUAUGGAGGGUGGACCUCCUUCCUGCCUCCGGGCUGUUCUUGAAACAGCUCCGAGUGAUUCUAUGAAAAAUGUAAUAAAAAACACACAAAAAAUACAAAAAAAAAAAGAAAAAAAAGGGGGGGGGGCAAUGCUUCAAUGCUUUUAAAUCAGCAAGAUCCUAGUUCUUUGAUACUUGGAUUACCCUCAUCCAUGUCAAUGACACUUUCCUAUGGUUUUCUGUAUUAUAUGUCUGGAGGGAGCUGUUAAGAUGAACGAAAUCUUAGUGACUGUCUGGGGACAGCAGACACACAAACAUGAAACACAAAUACGGAAACUCGUUAACCGUGAAGUGUGAGAAAGACAACGAGGGGAAAAAAAGGGAUUUCCAAGGCAAGAUCAUUGUUGUGAAAAGUCUGUAAAUGCUUCUAACUCUUUCCCCCUGUUAAAUCCACAAUAGUUGUACAGAAUUUUAAAAAGGAAAAAAAGUUUAAAAAUACCUAUAUAAUAGAAGAAAAUUAGAGGACAGCAAAAAAAAAAAUUUAAAAAUGGAAAAAAAAAACCUAUAGAAGUUAGCGUUCCUGCUAAAAUCCCAGAUGUUGUAGGACUGUACUUUCGUAGCGUUUAGACUGAGCAUCAAUCCCUUCUCCCUGCGAGUGCUGUCGGCCACCGUUAUCCCCUGAGGCCAGGCCGGACUCGCCCCAGACCUGCAGGUUCCUGGCUGCCCAUCUCCAGAGGAGGCCCGGCCAUUGGCAGCGCAGGGCCGCCCACCCGCCUGGACUUCUUCGCCGCCUCGCCCUUGCCUCUGGCUCCGCUCCGGAGCUGCGCUCGCUGACUCUCCGCAAGCCUUCACCUGCUUCACUCGCCUAACCUGCUUGCUCCAGAGACUUUCCGGGCAAGGGAGAACUGGGAACUUUCAUCUCAACACACACACAAACACAAAAACCUUAACAAGAGAGAGAGAGUGAGAGAGAGAGAUUACAAUCUUUGAAGAAUUUCUGAAACUGUUUACAAGGAAUUUUGAAAAACAGGGAUGUUUAAAUGAUGCCGGCUCUGUUUUUCUGUAAAUAAAUUUGCAUAUUUUGUAGGACUUUUAAUUGUAAUGAUAGAGAAAAAAAAACAAGGAAAACUAUUUAAUGAAAGCACGAUAUUUAUCUUUGGUAAAUGACUUUAGAGCAGUUAAAAAAAAAGACAUUGCUUAAAAAAACUCAGAAUCUGAAAAAAAACACUGAAUUAUUUAAGAACACAUAUAUUUUAAAGUAUGACAUAUUUAUUUAUAAUUUAUUUGCACCAUUGGGAAGACUUGCUUUGGCACCCGCCUUGAUGCCCCACACUGGUGGCGGGGGUCCCUCCCCCCUUUACAAUUGCUUUAGAAGGACUAACCUCGGGUUCUUGAGGGUCUCCUGCUUUUCCUUUCUGUCCGACUAUUUUGUUGGUUGAUUAGAAUCAUUUUUUGAUUUUUCUUCUUUUUUUUUUCCCUCUUGACUCCUCCUUUUAGGAUGUCCAAAUGUAAAAAACAAAACACAAAAACAGCUGCAGUUCAAUUCAACUGCUCUUUCCACACCCAACACCCUAAAACUCCUUGUAACCUUCUGUAACUAUUGGAUGACGCUUUCUCCAGCUUAGCCCUAAAUAAAGCACAGUUUAAAACAAACAAAACAAACAACCAAA